rnacentral:tRNA from 1 species
GAGCCGUUAGCUCAGCGGGAGAGCACUUGCUUGACAGGCAAGGGGUCGUUGGUUCAAAUCCAAUACGGCUCACCA